rnacentral:rRNA from 1 species
AUUGAACGCUGGCGGCAUGCUUUACACAUGCAAGUCGAGCGGCAGCGCGGGGGCAACUCUGGCGGCGAGCGGCGAACGGGUGAGGAAUACAUCGGAACGUGUCUCGUAAUGGGGGAUAGCCCGGCGAAAGCCGGAUUAAUACCGCAUAUGCUCUACGGAGGAAAGCCGGGGAUCUGUUAAGGGACCUGGCGUUAUGGGAGCGGCCGAUGUCCGAUUAGCUAGUUGGUGGGGAAAGGCUUACCAAGGCGACGAUCGGUAGCUGGUCUGAGAGGAUGAUCAGCCACACUGGGACUGAGACACGGCCCAGACUCCUACGGGAGGCAGCAGUGGGGAAUUUUGGACAAUGGGGCAACCCUGAUCCAGCCAUGCCGCGUGCGGGAAGAAGG